rnacentral:rRNA from 1 species
AUUGAACGCUGGCGGCAGGCCUAACACAUGCAAGUCGAGCGGUAGCACAGAGAGCUUGCUCUCGGGUGACGAGCGGCGGACGGGUGAGUAAUGUCUGGGAAACUGCCUGAUGGAGGGGGAUAACUACUGGAAACGGUAGCUAAUACCGCAUAAUGUCGCAAGACCAAAGUGGGGGACCUUCGGGCCUCAUGCCAUCAGAUGUGCCCAGAUGGGAUUAGCUAGUAGGUGGGGUAACGGCUCACCUAGGCGACGAUCCCUAGCUGGUCUGAGAGGAUGACCAGCCACACUGGAACUGAGACACGGUCCAGACUCCUACGGGAGGCAGCAGUGGGGAAUAUUGCACAAUGGGCGCAAGCCUGAUGCAGCCAUGCCGCGUGUGUGAAGAAGGCCUUCGGGUUGUAAAGCACUUUCAGCGGGGAGGAAGGCGGUGAGGUUAAUAACCUCAUCGAUUGACGUUACCCGCAGAAGAAGCACCGGCUAACUCCGUGCCAGCAGCCGCGGUAAUACGGAGGGUGCAAGCGUUAAUCGGAAUUACUGGGCGUAAAGCGCACGCAGGCGGUCUGUCAAGUCGGAUGUGAAAUCCCCGGGCUCAACCUGGGAACUGCAUUCGAAACUGGCAGGCUAGAGUCUUGUAGAGGGGGGUAGAAUUCCAGGUGUAGCGGUGAAAUGCGUAGAGAUCUGGAGGAAUACCGGUGGCGAAGGCUGCCCCCUGGACAAAAGACUGACACUCACGUGCGAAAGCGUGGGGAGCAAACAGGAUUAGAUACCCUGGUAGUCCACGCCGUAAACGAUGUCGAUUUGGAGGUUGUGCCCUUGAGGCGUGGCUUCCGGAGCUAACGCGUUAAAUCGACCGCCUGGGGAGUACGGCCGCAAGGUUAAAACUCAAAUGAAUUGACGGGGGCCCGCACAAGCGGUGGAGCAUGUGGUUUAAUUCGAUGCAACGCGAAGAACCUUACCUGGUCUUGACAUCCACAGAACUUUCCAGAGAUGGAUUGGUGCCUUCGGGAACUGUGAGACAGGUGCUGCAUGGCUGUCGUCAGCUCGUGUUGUGAAAUGUUGGGUUAAGUCCCGCAACGAGCGCAACCCUUAUCCUUUGUUGCCAGCGGUCCGGCCGGGAACUCAAAGGAGACUGCCAGUGAUAAACUGGAGGAAGGUGGGGAUGACGUCAAGUCAUCAUGGCCCUUACGACCAGGGCUACACACGUGCUACAAUGGCAUAUACAAAGAGAAGCGACCUCGCGAGAGCAAGCGGACCUCAUAAAGUAUGUCGUAGUCCGGAUUGGAGUCUGCAACUCGACUCCAUGAAGUCGGAAUCGCUAGUAAUCGUAGAUCAGAAUGCUACGGUGAAUACGUUCCCGGGCCU